GAAAACAACAAGAAUCAACACCUCCUAAAAUGGAAGUCUCAGCCAGCAAAGAUGCACUCAAGACUAUUAACUGGUCUGAUCAUUUACUUUUUUUUCUUUAUAGUGUUUGUGUGCUCAUUAGUAUUCUAUCACAUUAAAUGGUGGGAAUUUCUUUAGCAAAGUUUAUGUAUAUUUAAUUGAGAUGUUCAAGAGGGUGAAGUAGUUUGAGAAAAAGGGACGGGGGCAGGAAGUUCCAAAUUCUCUGUGAAAGGCAAAUUUGGCAGACAGCAACACUCAAGCCAUCAAAAGGUGAAAUGAAAUGUGUUAAGGUAAGUUGAAAUGAAUGUUUUCCCAUAAGGAAUUGAUAUGUUACUGGCUGCUACACCUGCCACCCUCAUUACAAUAAUGAAGAAGAGAAAAUAAGGAAGAACCAUUUCUUUCUCUGACAGAUUCUUUCCUGUAUUUGGUUCAGGUAUCCUACACUGCUAUGCUAAUGUAAAUUGUGGUAGAUUUUAUGUUCCCAUGCUUCAUCUUUAUUACGCUCCAUCCCCUUCACAAUAUGCUUUUCACCAUCACUUUGCAUGCAGACACCUUUGUUAUACCAAGUGCAGUUGGCUCUGCUAUAUCAUAUAUUCUGUAUGUAAAUAGCUGUCUGUUGUUUAUGACCACAAAAUUUUCUUACAGGAAACAAGGAAAUAUAGUUGAAGGUGGCACUGUUCCUCAUACUCUUGGUACGGGUGAAGGAAGUGUCUAAGAUAUUCAAGGAAUUUUCAGUUUCAUGAGAACACUUGACACCGACUAAAGUAUAUUCAGAGACCCAAAGAAGCAGAUGCCCCAGUUCAGCUGAAAGAAGUCAUCUUUACCACCGAGGAAAAACAGGUAAAGCACUUGGUAACACUUACCACCCCAAACAUAUGGCCAGGAUGAACACACUAACCAGACACUGAAAUGGAUAUUGAGCAAAAUGGUCAAUGAUAAAAGAGAUGUGUUGGAACUGUUGUUCCAGCAAGGUUUCAUAAUGGGUAAUAAUUUCAGUUGAAGUAUAACAAUCCACCUUAAUGAGUGAAUGAAUCAACGAGGAUCCAGAUCAAACGGAUCUGGACUCCUGGAACAAAACCAUUCUCAAUUUGCUUCAUGUGCUGAGUUAGUUAGUUAGUCCACCCUUCCAUUCUUGUUUUGUUUCAGUAUCUUGAAAUGUACUUCCUGGAAUCAAUGGAUACAUAUUAAUGCAGUAACAUACUUCCCUGUAUUAUAUUGUGAAUAUUUAAAUAAAGGACGAUUGUCCUAAUUACUAAUGCA